rnacentral:rRNA from 1 species
UACGGAGGGUGCAAGCGUUAAUCGGAAUUACUGGGCGUAAAGCGUGCGCAGGCGGUUUGUUAAGUCCGUUGUGAAAGCCCCGAGCUCAACUUGGGAAUUGCAGUGGAUACUGGCAAGCUGGAGUACGGUAGAGGAAGGUGGAAUUCCCGGUGUAGCAGUGAAAUGCGUAGAGAUCGGGAGGAACACCAGUGGCGAAGGCGGCCUUCUGGACCAGUACUGACGCUCAUGCACGAAAGCGUGGGGAGCAAACAGG